rnacentral:rRNA from 1 species
GAUGAACGCUGGCGGCGUGCCUAACACAUGCAAGUCGAACGGAAAGGCCCAAGCUUGCUUGGGUACUCGAGUGGCGAACGGGUGAGUAACACGUGGGUGAUCUGCCCUGCACUUCGGGAUAAGCCUGGGAAACUGGGUCUAAUACCGGAUAGGACCACAUUUUGGAUGGUGUGGUGGAAAGUUUUUCGGUGUGGGAUGAGCUCGCGGCCUAUCAGCUUGUUGGUGGGGUAAUGGCCUACCAAGGCGUCGACGGGUAGCCGGCCUGAGAGGGUGUACGGCCACAUUGGGACUGAGAUACGGCCCAGACUCCUACGGGAGGCAGCAGUGGGGAAUAUUGCACAAUGGGCGCAAGCCUGAUGCAGCGACGCCGCGUGGGGGAUGACGGCCUUCGGGUUGUAAACUCCUUUCACUAGGGACGAAGCGUUAUGUGACGGUACCUGGAGAAGAAGCACCGGCUAACUACGUG